AUGCAAGAGCGCAGGGUGAUUGCCUAUGCCUCCCGUCAAGUGCGUCCUCACGAAGAAAACUACCCGGUUCAUGACCUUGAGCUUGCAGCGGUUAUCUUUGCAUUGAAGCUAUGGCGACAAUACCUUCUCGGUAAUCAUUGUGAGAUCUUCACUGAUCAUCAGAGUCUGAAGUACCUGUUUACUCAGCCAGAUUUGAACCUCCGUCAGCAGCGAUGGAUGGAAGCCAUUGCUGACUACAACUGCGGUAUAUCUUAUACACCUGGCAAGGCUAAUGUAAUGGCCGAUGCCCUAAGCCAAAAGUCUUAUUGCAAUAAUCACCAGGUCUACAAAGCUCCACCCCGCCUUUAUGAAGAGCUAUGCAAGCUGAACCUUCAACUAGUUCCAGAGGGUUCUCUGAAUAACCUUGUUUUGGAACCAACUCUUCUGAAAGCAAUCAAGUCUGCUCAAGCCAAAGAUGCUCAUGUUGAUCUGAUGAAAAGGGAUCUUGCCUUAGAGAAAUCCAGAGAUUUCUCACUUGGUGAAGAUGGAACCUUAUACUUCAGAGAUCGCAUUGUCGUACCCCGGUUCGAGCUUAUGACAGAGAAGGUGAUGAAAGAAGCGCAUGACACCCCUCUCUCUAUUCAUCCGGGAAGUACCAAGAUGUAUCUUGACAUCCGUCAGAAGUACUGGUGGUCUAAGAUGAAGCAAUACAUUGCUCGAUAUAUUGAAGAAUGUGACGUUUGUCGUCGCGUCAAAGCAGAACAUCAAAAACCGGCUGGACUUCUACAACCGCUUCCGAUUCCUGAAUGGAAGUGGGAUAAGAUCCAAAUGGACUUCGUCACUGGCCUUCCCAAGUCUCAGAAAGGUAAUGAUGCUAUCUUUGUUGUCAUCGACCAAUUCUCGAAGGUUGCUCACUUUCUGCCAGUCAAGGAGACUAUCACUGCUAGUCAAUUGGCAACCUUGUAUAUCUCCCGAAUUGUGUCACUCCACGGCAUUCCGAAGGAGAUCAGUUCAGACCGCGGCAGUAUUUUCACUUCUAAGUUCUGGGAUAGUUUCCAAGAGGCAAUGGGAACUCAUAUUACCUGGAGCACUGCUUAUCAUCCCCAAUCCCAAGGCCAAGUCGAGCGAGUCAAUCAAAUUCUUGAAGACAUGCUUCGAGCUUGUGUUAUUUCUUUCGGCAAGAAGUGGGAAGAAUCUCUCCCUUAUGCGGAGUUCUCUUAUAACAACAGCUAUCAAGCCAGCUUGAAGAUGGCACCCUUUGAAGUGCUUUAUGGAUGUAAGUGCCGAACCCCUCUGAAUUGGUCAGAAACUGGGGAACGAGCACUCAUUGGUCCGGACAUUAUUCAACAAGCUGAAGAGCAGGUUCGCCUUGUCCGGGAUAAUCUCAAGGCGGCCCAAUCCCGCCAGAAGAACAAUUAUGACCAGAAACACUGGGGUUCAACUUAUCAACCUGGUGAACAAGCUUAUCUGCGUGUCACUCCUUUGAGAGGCACUCAUCGGUUCGGAGUCAAGGGAAAGUUAGCUCCUCGCUACAUUGGUCCCUUCUGUAUUCUCGCCCGUCGUGGACUGGUGGCUUAUCAACUGGAGUUGCCACCUCAGUUCUCUCACGUUCAUGACGUCUUCCAUGUGUCGUAA
rnacentral:rRNA from 1 species